rnacentral:misc_RNA from 1 species
ACCAAUUAAAAAUUGCUCAAAAAAAUUAAUGGAAAAGAAUACUGCAAACAAGUAGAAAAUCAGAAGUUUAAUAACAAAAGAAUAGAUCACGAAAUAAUGUUUCGAUUGAACAUGAAUAUAAAGCAUGCAUCUAAAGAAGAAGCAUGAGACUUAAAAAUCCAUUGGUAAUGAAUCAAAGAUCUUACAGCAUAACCAAAUGAAGUGAAAGGCCAACCUGAA